ensembl:miRNA
UAUCCAAUCCAAAUGUCCAAAUGACAUUCCAAUGUCAUUGGACAUUUGGAUUGCAGA